rnacentral:lncRNA from 1 species
UUAAAUGUAGAAGAAAAAAACUUACAUGAUAGGCUUCGUUAAUUCUGCUGAAAUGGACGCCGGAGUUUUUACCAUUGCAGACGUCUGGAUGAUACUGCAACGCGAGUUGCCGGAAGGCCUUUUUGACCUCCAUCUCAGACGAACCAGGUUGGAUUCUGAGGGUUUUAUAUUGCUCUGUUAAACUCGAUGUUCUAUAAGAAGAAACACACAUGACUCUCCUCCUGAUUUUGUUCUUGUUCUCGUUCUUGUUCUUCGUCCUCGCCGUCAGAACCUUUCCAAAUAGAGAACCACCUCCAAUCCCGACGGUGCUAGCAGCCAUUGACGGAUUCAAAGACGACCCAAUUCGCGAAACAGUGACAGAAUCCUGGAAAAUCGAACAAGAUUCAAUCUUGGAGCGGGAGCCGAUUGGAAACAGGGGUGAUUGCGGAUGAUGUAGGUUAGGAAAAAAAAGGAAGGGGGGAGUAGAUAAAUAAAGAUUUUUUUGGCAUGAUCAGAAGAUGCGCUUUUGCUUACGUGGCACGUUGGUCUGAUGUGUGUCCGACUGUUAGUGUUAUUGAUCCUUAUCCACGACAGGGGUGAGAAAAAUGUGUUCUUUUUUUUAAUGCUUGGAUCUGAACCGUACGUCGACG